rnacentral:rRNA from 1 species
GACGAACGCUGGCGGCGUGCUUAACACAUGCAAGUCGAACGGAAAGGCCCUGCUUUUGUGGGGUGCUCGAGUGGCGAACGGGUGAGUAACACGUGAGUAACCUGCCCUUGACUUUGGGAUAACUUCAGGAAACUGGGGCUAAUACCGGAUAGGAGCUCCUGCUGCAUGGUGGGGGUUGGAAAGUUUCGGCGGUUGGGGAUGGACUCGCGGCUUAUCAGCUUGUUGGUGGGGUAGUGGCUUACCAAGGCUUUGACGGGUAGCCGGCCUGAGAGGGUGACCGGCCACAUUGGGACUGAGAUACGGACCAGAACCCUACGGGAGGCAGCAGUGGGGAAUAUUGCACAAUGGGCGGAAGCCUGAUGCAGCAACGCCGCGUGCGGGAUGACGGCCUUCGGGUUGUAAACCGAUUUCGCCUGUGACGAAGCGUGAGUGACGGUAAUGGGUAAAGAAGCACCGGCUAACUACGUG